AGUGAACGCUGGCGGUAUGCCUAACACAUGCAAGUCGAACGGCAGCACAGUAAGAUCUUUCUCUUACGGUUGGCGGGUGGCGGACGGGUGAGGAAUACAUCGGAAUCUACUUUUUCGUGGGGGAUAACGUAGGGAAACUUACGCUAAUACCGCAUACGACCUACGGGUUAAAGCAGUGGAUCUUCGGACCUUGCGCGAUUGAAUUAGCCGAUGUCGGAUUAGCUAGUUGGCGGGGUAAAGGCCCACCAAGGCGACGAUCCGUAGCUGGUCUGAGAGGAUGAUCAGCCACACUGGAACUGAGACACGGUCCAGACUCCUACGGGAGGCAGCAGUGGGGAAUAUUGGACAAUGGGCGCAAGCCUGAUCCAGCAAUACCGCGUGGGUGAAGAAGGCCUUCGGGUUGUAAAGCCCUUUUGUUGGGAAAGAAAAGAAGCAGGUUAAUACACCGAUGUUCUGACGGUACCCAAAGAAUAAGCAACGGCUAACUUCGUG
rnacentral:rRNA from 1 species